GCGCAUACGGUGGAUGCCUUGGCAGUCAGAGGCGAUGAAAGACGUGGAAGCCUGCGAUAAGGUUCGGGGAGCUGGCAAACGAGCUGUGAUCCGGACAUUUCUGAAUGGGGAAACCCACCCGAUUUCGGUCGGGUACCUUGCACUGAAUACAUAGGUGUAAGGGGCGAACCGGGGGAACUGAAACAUCUAAGUACCCCGAGGAAAAGAAAUCAACCGAGAUUCCCUAAGUAGCGGCGAGCGAACGGGGAUUAGCCCUUAAGCUAAACAACUGGUAGGAGAAGGCUCUGGAAAGUGCCGCCAUAGUGGGUGAUAGCCCCGUAUCCGAAACCUGAGUUUAGUGAAAUCGAGUAGGACGGGACACGUGGUAUCCUGUCUGAAUAUGGGGGGACCAUCCUCCAAGGCUAAAUACUCCUGACUGACCGAUAGUGAACCAGUACCGUGAGGGAAAGGCGAAAAGAACCCCGGAGAGGGGAGUGAAAUAGAUCCUGAAACCGUAUGCGUACAAGCAGUCGGAGCAGACUUGUUCUGUGACGGCGUACCUUUUGUAUAAUGGGUCAGCGACUUAUGUUCAGUGGCGAGGUUAACCGUUUAGGGGAGCCGUAGGGAAACCGAGUCUGAAUAGGGCGAUUUAGUCGCUGGGCAUAGACCCGAAACCGGGCGAUCUAUCCAUGAGCAGGUUGAAGGUUGAGUAACAUCAACUGGAGGACCGAACCCACUGUCUUUGAAAAGCCAGGGGAUGACUUGUGGAUCGGAGUGAAAGGCUAAUCAAGCCCGGAGAUAGCUGGUUCUCCCCGAAAGCUAUUUAGGUAGCGCCUCGGACGAAUACCACAGGGGGUAGAGCACUGUUUCGGCUAGGGGGUCAUCCCGACUUACCAACCCGAUGCAAACUCCGAAUACCUGUGAGUACUAUCCGGGAGACACACGGUGGGUGCUAACGUCCAUCGUGAAGAGGGAAACAACCCAGACCGCCAGCUAAGGUCCCCAAGUACCAGUUAAGUGGGAAACGAUGUGGGAAGGCUUAGACAGCUAGGAGGUUGGCUUAGAAGCAGCCAUCCUUUAAAGAAAGCGUAAUAGCUCACUAGUCGAGUCGGCCUGCGCGGAAGAUGUAACGGGGCUCAAACUGGAUACCGAAGCUGCGGCAGUGUGCUUAGGCAUACUGGGUAGGGGAGCGUUGUGUAAGUCUGUGAAGGUGUGUUGAGAAGCAUGCUGGAGAUAUCACAAGUGCGAAUGCUGACGUGAGUAACGAUAAUGCGGGUGAAAAACCCGCACGCCGAAAGACCAAGGUUUCCUGCGCAACGCUAAUCGGCGCAGGGUGAGUCGGCCCCUAAGGCGAGGCUGAAAGGCGUAGCUGAUGGGAAACGGGUUAAUAUUCCCGUACUUCUUGUAACUGCGAUGGAGAGACGGAGAAGGCUAGGCCUACCGGGCGUUGGUUGUCCCGGGGAAAGACCGUAGGC
rnacentral:rRNA from 12 species